rnacentral:rRNA from 1 species
AUUGAACGCUGGCGGCAGGCCUAACACAUGCAAGUCGAGCGAGCGGCGGACGGGUGAGUAAUGUCUGGGAAACUGCCUGAUGGAGGGGGAUAACUACUGGAAACGGUAGCUAAUACCGCAUACCAUCAGAUGUGCCAAGAUGUGAGUAGCUAGUAGGUGGGGUAACGGAUCACCUAGGCGACGAUCCCUAGCUGGUCUGAGAGGAGUACCCGCCACACUGGAACUGAGACACGGUCCAGACUCCUACGGGAGGCAGCAGUGGGGAAUAGUGCACAAUGGGCGCAAGCCUGAUGCAGCCAUGCCGCGUGUGUGAAGAAGGCCUUCGGGUUGUAAAGCACUUUCAGCGGGGAGGCGUUACCCGCAGAAGAAGCACCGGCUAACUCCGUGCCAGCAGCCGCGGUAAUAC